CCUACGGGAGGCAGCAGUGAGGAAUAUUGGUCAAUGGGCGCUAGCCUGAACCAGCCAAGUAGCGUGAAGGAUGACUGCCCUAUGGGUUGUAAACUUCUUUUAUAUGGGAAUAAAGUGCAGUAUGUAUACUGCUUUGCAUGUACUUUAUGAAUAAGGAUCGGCUAACUCCGUGCCAGCAGCCGCGGUAAUACGGAGGAUGCGAGCGUUAUCCGGAUUCACUGGGUGUAAAGGGAGCGUAGACGGGCAUGCAAGCCAGUGGUGAAAGCCCGGGGCUCAACCCCGGAACUGCAAUUGAUACUGGCUGGCUGGAGUGCAGGAGGGGCAGGCGGAAUUCCUGGUGUAGCGGUGAAAUGCGUAGAUAUCAGGAGGAACCCCGGCGGCGAAGGCAGCUUGCUGAACCGCGACUGACGUUGAGGCUCGAAAGCGUGGGGAGCGAACAGGAUUAGAUACCCGGGUAGUC
rnacentral:rRNA from 1 species